UGUAAGCGUAUACCAAAGUUGUUGCAGUUAAAACGCUCGUAGUCGGAAUUUGGCAGUUCCGGAUGUGUGCACGUCGUGUGCGCACUUCGCGGGGAUUGCUUUUGUGGUCUUGCGUAGGAUGAGGCACUUUUAUUAGUGAACGUCCUCACGCAACCACUUUUUACUGUGAGAAAAUCAGAGUGCUCAAAGCAGGCAUUUGCCGUGAAUGUAUUAGCAUGGAAUAAUAGAAUAGGACUUGGUUCUAUUUUGUUGGUUUGUUGGGACUGAGUAAUGAUUAAGAGGGACAGUUGGGGGCAUUUGUAUUUCGGUGCUAGAAGUGAAAUUCUUAGAUUACCGAAAGACAAACUGCUGCGAAAGCGUCUGCCAAGGAUGUUUUCAUUGA
rnacentral:rRNA from 1 species